rnacentral:lncRNA from 1 species
AUUUUGAAGCUGAAAAAGUAUAAGGAAAGAAGUACAGGAGACUAUUUUGCAAUAUUACCAUCAUAGACAUAAAUACUAUUCUGUUAAGACUUGCAAGGAAGAUUUUGGUAGCUUAGGUUGUGAUUGGUAACAGAGAUGGCAGUCGUAGUUAAAGACUAAUAGAUUGAAGAGCUCUACAGUAGUCGCAUCUGCCCAGCAAGUGAAGACAACGCAAACUUCAAAUGCUCCUGAUGUAAAUGAUGCAAUUGUGAAACUAUUCAAUGAUUUUGAUGUUAAGGAAACCUCCCAUCAUUUAGUGAUUUCUCAUCUAGAUCUACACAUAUGUGAUGACAUUCAUGCUAAAGAAAAAGAGUCAAACAGACGUAUUACUGGAGGGGCAAUGCAACUCUCUUUUACACAGCUAACUAUAGAUUAUUAUCCUUAUCAUAAAGCAGGAGAUAGUUGUAAUCAUUGGAUGUAUUUUAGUGAUGCAACCAAAACAAAAAAUGGAUGGGCCAAUGAGUUAUUGCAUGAAUUUGAGUGCAACGUUGAAAUGCUUAAACAGGCUGUGAAGGAUCAUA